UACAGAGGUCUCAAGCGUUGUUCGGAUUCAUUGGGCGUAAAGGGUGUGUAGGUGGCGCGCUAAGUCGGGUGUGAAAUUUCGGAGCUUAACUCCGAAACUGCAUUCGAUACUGGCGUGCUUGAGGACUGGAGAGGAGACUGGAAUUCAUGGUGUAGCAGUGAAAUGCGUAGAGAUCGUAAGGAAGGCCAGUGGCGAAGGCGAGUUCCUGGACAGUUACUGACGCUGAGGCACGAAGGCCAGGGGAGCAAACGGG
rnacentral:rRNA from 1 species